CCUACAUCAUGGGGUCAUAGCCAUUCGUUAAUAAGGUGCUUAUGGUGAAAGAAGAGGCGAUUCUACGAGAAUGGUUUAAAAUAGGGGUUUUUGGUCUAUGGGGCCAUAUAUAGAAAAAUCCCGGUCAGAAGACGAGUUUCAACGGAUCAAAGGGACCAGCUUUGCAUCCUUGAUUUCAUUAUCUUGUUGGUGGAUUAAGAACAAAAUGCCUCACCGAACAAGGCCUAUGACUGCACUCUUGGUUUUCAAGGGAGUUAAUGUUGUCUUGGUGUCGACAAUCACUCCGGUUUAUGAUUUUGUGUGCUUCCAUCCUUACUGGGAAAGAAGGAGAGAACGUCGUCGCCAGGAACGUGAAGCUGCCAUGGCAAAGGGUCCCCAGUCAAGUUCAAGGGGUGGUGUUCAGACGUAUUCUUUCAUACAGCUCAAGGAAGAAGAAAAGAAAAGGCUUUUUAUUGUUGUUAUGGUGUUUGUUUUCACUCCAUGGGUGUGUGAUUGUUUGUUGAAGAAGAAUGAUAUGAUCUUCAACCUGAGAAAUGCACAUCCUACUUUGGUUUUCAGUUUCUACAGGAUGAUCAGCAAAUAGAUAGUCAAGGUGACAAAUACUAAGUGAUCUGCGUUCAAGUGGAAGAGGACCAAGAUUGGCAUCUAGCAUCUUUCAAUCCAAGAUGGGGUCCAGCAGAUUAACGAUCUGGAUCAUUGAACCAUGCAGUGUAAAUAUAGACAAUUUCCUCCUUCCAAUGGAUGAUAUAUUUGAUGGAAAGCAUAUCAGGAAGAGGAGAUGGUGCUCCUUAGAACUGCUCCAGAGGUCCUGAAC